UGCAAAAAUUAUAUAAUUUUCCAUGCAAAAUAUAGAGUUGAUUUUACAUAAACAGGAAACUGGAAAAUUCUUCAACAAAAAAUUAAAAUCAUCCAAUCCAUUAUACAAGUAACAAUUUCCAACUGAAUUAGAAAGAAACUAUUAUUACAGACAGAUAAUGCAAUUGUUAUGGCCUAUAACAAUUAAAGAGAAGAAUUAUGAACAAUUAUAGAGCCUCAAAAGCAAGCAUCCAAAAGACAACAACAGCAGAGUGCUGCUAAGCAUCCUUCAAGGAAACCAGUCUCUUGCCUGGGAGGCUGGGCGUAGCCUGGAGCAUACCCUUGAGGAGGGUAACCCUGGGGAGGAUACCCUUGUGGAUAACCUUGAACAGGAUACCCAGGUGGUGGAUAUGCAUCUUUUGGAUACCCUGAAAUCAAGAGUUGCAAAAACAAAUUAAACCCAUCUCCAAAUCCAAAUCAUAAGAUCCUUAAAACUAUCAAAAAUCCACAUACCUUGUGGUGGAGGAACACCCACCGGAUGCUGCUGGUCGUAAUAACUCAUUUUUCUUUCCUAUCUGUGGAGCCCUGUAGCUUUUUCUUUCAAAUGACUAACUGGGUAUUAAAAUUGGCGUGUUUUAUAGAGAAAGAUGGCCUGCAAGGCGGCAAGCGAAGGAGGAGAAGCUCAGAGGAAAUUUGUAGUUUCCUUCGGAAAGAGGAAUUGAAAGUGGAGAUGCAAAUACUCAAGUUAAACCCGGUGUAAGCCUUUAUGGAAAGAAGAGAGGAUAAAAAGAUGCCAUCCACUAAGCGAAUGAAAGAAUCUUACCACAGUCCUUUAUGCUAUAAAUCUAG
rnacentral:misc_RNA from 1 species